AGGGCAAGUCUGGUGCCAGCAGCCGCGGUAAUUCCAGCUCCAAUAGCGUAUAUUAAAGUUGCUGCAGUUAAAAAGCUCGUAGUUGAAUUUCGGGACCAUCAUGUCGGUCGUGCCUCGGUACGUACUGGUAUUGUUGGUUUCUCCCUUCUGACGAACCAUGAUGUCAUUUAUUUGGUGUUGUGGGGAAUCAGGACUGUUACUUUGAAAAAAUUAGAGUGUUUAAAGCAGGCUCACGCUUGAAUACAUUAGCAUGGAAUAAUGAAAUAGGACGUUUGAUUCUAUUUUGUUGGUUUCUAGGAUCGACGUAAUGAUUAAUAGGGAUAGUUGGGGGCAUUAGUAUUCAAUUGUCAGAGGUGAAAUUCUUGGAUUUAUUGAAGACUAACUACUGCGAAAGCAUUUGCCAAGGAUGUUUUCAUUAAUCAAGAACGAAAGUUAGGGGAUCGAAGACGAUCAGAUACCGUCGUAGUCUUAACCAUAAACUAUGCCGACUAGGGAUCGGAUGAUGUUAAUUUUUUAAUGACUCAUUCGGCGCCUUACGGGAAAC
rnacentral:rRNA from 1 species